rnacentral:rRNA from 1 species
UACGUAGGGCGCAAGCGUUGUCCGGAAUUAUUGGGCGUAAAGAGCUCGUAGGCGGUUUGUCGCGUCUGCUGUGAAAACCUAAGGCUCAACCUUGGGCUUGCAGUGGGUACGGGCAGACUAGAGUGUGGUAGGGGAGAUCGGAAUUCCUGGUGUAGCGGUGGAAUGCGCAGAUAUCAGGAGGAACACCGGUGGCGAAGGCGGUUCUCUGGGCCUGUACUGACGCUGGAGGAGCGAAAGCGUGGGGAGCGAACAGG